rnacentral:rRNA from 1 species
UUCGAACCGCAUGGUUCGAUAGUGAAAGAUGGUUUUGCUAUCACUUAUAGAUGGACCCGCGCCGUAUUAGCUAGUUGGUAAGGUAACGGCUUACCAAGGCGACGAUACGUAGCCGACCUGAGAGGGUGAUCGGCCACACUGGAACUGAGACACGGUCCAGACUCCUACGGGAGGCAGCAGUAGGGAAUCUUCCGCAAUGGGCGAAAGCCUGACGGAGCAACGCCGCGUGAGUGAUGAAGGUCUUCGGAUCGUAAAACUCUGUUAUUAGGGAAGAACAUACGUGUAAGUAACUAUGCACGUCUUGACGGUACCUAAUCAGAAAGCCACGGCUAACUACGUGCCAGCAGCCGCGGUAAUACGUAGGUGGCAAGCGUUAUCCGGAAUUAUUGGGCGUAAAGCGCGCGUAGGCGGUUUUUUAAGUCUGAUGUGAAAGCCCACGGCUCAACCGUGGAGGGUCAUUGGAAACUGGAAAACUUGAGUGCAGAAGAGGAGAGUGGAAUUCCAUGUGUAGCGGUGAAAUGCGCAGAGAUAUGGAGGAACACCAGUGGCGAAGGCGACUUUCUGGUCUGUAACUGACGCUGAUGUGCGAAAGCGUGGGGAUCAAACAGGAUUAGAUACCCUGGUAGUCCACGCCGUAAACGAUGAGUGCUAAGUGUUAGGGGGUUUCCGCCCCUUAGUGCUGCAGCUAACGCAUUAAGCACUCCGCCUGGGGAGUACGACCGCAAGGUUGAAACUCACAGGAAUUGACGGGGACCCGCACAAGCGGUGGAGCAUGUGGUUUAAUUCGAAGCAACGCGAAGAACCUUACCAAAUCUUGACAUCCUUUGACAACUCUAGAGAUAGAGCCUUCCCCUUCGGGGGACAAAGUGACAGGUGGUGCAUGGUUGUCGUCACCUCGUG